rnacentral:rRNA from 1 species
GUCAGUCAGAAGCUCGGAUAUGGAUAGGGCAGCCGCCGAGGAGAUGUGCAGUGCGGCCGCGGCCGGCGUCCUAGAGCACGCCGGUGAAGGCGUCUCCGGCCUCCGGGGAGGGCAGGGUCUAACGCGCGCUAGCUAGCUGCACCGCUGGCCCGGCCGUCGUGUCUCGCCCGCAGUCGCACCACCAUCAGAUCGAACGUCGUCAGAUCCAUAUCCAGGGAGGACCGACUAUUUGCUUAUGCUUAUGUUCUAUGAUAGGAGGAGUAGCAGCAAAGUACUAACAGGUAUGAAUAUUAUUAAGGCCAUUUUUGUUACUCCUACUAGUAUAUAUCCCUACCGCCAUACGGCUGACAUUUUUGUACUAACAAACUUACUAACGUAGGGUAGGAUGUGAUGCUGGAAGACAUGAUGAAGCAGCUAUCUGCCUGCCUGCCUAAAUUAUGAUGGAUUUCUGUCAGGUUUCUUGUGUUGCAUCUGAAAACAGAUCGCUGUAUCUAAGCAGAUUCUGUUCUGCAGUUUGUAUGUAGGCUCCGGACCGGAUCGGCUCCUUCCUCUCCAAAAUUUUAACGAGCCAGGGAAAGAAAGUUCUUCGCCAAAACCCUUACCUGGGAGAGGCCUUAUCCAAGGACGGGAGAAAGAAUAGACCAUCAACAAGCACCCAAUCACGGCCGCGUCCUUCUCUUCGUAUGGUAACCACUGUUGAAAUCUGAAAUCCGCUCUUAUUGGGUUUAAUGGCUGCAGGUCAUGUUUCGGUAAUGUUCAUGAGAUGAAUGCAGGCGCAAGAGUAAUUAAAAGCCUACGGCAUAUGAUCUUGUUCUCGUCGUAUGGCAUCAGUCGGCACCCCUGUGAAAC